AUUGAACGCUGGCGGCAGGCCUAACACAUGCAAGUCGAACGAGUGGCGGACGGGUGAGUAAUAUCUGGGAAACUGCCCGAUGGGGGGGGGUAAAUACUGGAAACGGUCGCUAAUACCGCAUACCAUCUGAUAUGACCAGAGGGGCUUAGCUAGUAGGUGGGGUAACGGCUCACCUAGGCGACGAUCCCUAGCGGGUCUGAGAGGAUGACCAGCCACACUGGAACUGAGACACGGUCCAGACUCCUACGGGAGGCAGCAGUGGGGAAUAUUGCACAAUGGGCGCAAGCCUGAUGCAGCCAGGCCGCGUGUAUGAAGAAGGCCUUCGGGUUGUAAAGUACUUUCAGCGAGGAGGCGUUACUCGCAGAAGAAGCACCGGCUAACUCCGUGCCAGCCGCCGCGGUAAUAC
rnacentral:rRNA from 1 species